UGGGGAAUAUUGGACAAUGGGCGAAAGCCUGAUCCAGCAAUGCCGCGUGUGUGAAGAAGGCCUUCGGGUUGUAAAGCACUUUCGUUCUUGAAGAAGCGAAGUGGGCUAAUACCCUGCUUUGUUGACGUUAGAGAAAGAAGAAGCACCGGCUAACUCUGUGCCAGCAGCCGCGGUAAUACAGAGGGUGCGAGCGUUAAUCGGAAUUACUGGGCGUAAAGGGUGCGUAGGUGGUUAGAUAAGUAACAUGUUAAAGUCCCGGGCUUAACCUGGGGAGGCCAUGUUAGACUGUUUAGCUAGAGUGUUGUAGAGGAAAGUGGAAUUUCCGGUGUAGCGGUGAAAUGCGUAGAUAUCGGAAGGAACACCAGUGGCGAAGGCGACUUUCUGGACAAAUACUGACACU
rnacentral:rRNA from 1 species